rnacentral:rRNA from 1 species
GAUGAACGCUGGCGGCGUGCCCAAUACAUGCAAGUCGAGCGAACGGACGAGAAGCUUGCUUUUCUGAUGUUAGCGGCGGACGGGUGAGUAACACGUGGAUAACCUACCUAUAAGACUGGGAUAACUUCGGGAAACCGGAGCUAAUACCGGAUAAUAUUUUGAACCGCAUGGUUCAAAAGUGAAAGACGGUCUUGCUGUCACUUAUAGAUGGAUCCGCGCUGCAUUAGCUAGUUGGUAAGGUAACGGCUUACCAAGGCAACGAUGCAUAGCCGACCUGAGAGGGUGAUCGGCCACACUGGAACUGAGACACGGUCCAGACUCCUACGGGAGGCAGCAGUAGGGAAUCUUCCGCAAUGGGCGAAAGCCUGACGGAGCGACGCCGCGUGAGUGAUGAAGGUCUUCGGAUCGUAAAACUCUGUUAUUAGGGAAGAACAUAUGUGUAAGUAACUGUGCACAUCUUGACGGUACCUAAUCAGAAAGCCACGGCUAACUACGUG